CAACAACAUAUUGUCUCCAGUCUUCUCUAUUUUGUGCCGUUUAUUCAGCAUUCCUUACUCCCAACCUCUUUAGGUCUUCUUUUAUUCUAUCUGACCAUCUCUGUCUAGGACGUCCUCUGGGNCGAUUAGUCCUUUUGAUCUCCAUACAUGUCCAGUCCAGCCUAUUCGUGCGCUUUUUAAGAUCCCUACAAUAUUGGUUUCGUUAUAUAAUUCUUCUAAAUUUUUAUUGCUACGUAUUUCAU